rnacentral:rRNA from 1 species
CGGGUGAGUAACGCGUGAGGAACCUGCCUCAAAGAGGGGGACAACAGUUGGAAACGACUGCUAAUACCGCAUAAGCCCACAGGUCGGCAUCGACCAGAGGGAAAAGGAGCAAUCCGCUUUGAGAUGGCCUCGCGUCCGAUUAGCUAGUUGGUGAGGUAAUGGCCCGCCAAGGCAACGAUCGGUAGCCGGACUGAGAGGUUGAACGGCCACAUUGGGACUGAGACACGGCCCAG